UUCUAUUAGGAUGGGGCCACGGAUUUGGAUCCAUUCUUCACAUAUAUACACCUAAUCAUCAUUUUCAUUGGGAGGAAAGGGAGAGAGAGAAAAGAACGGAGGGGGUCAUCAUCUUCAUUGGAGAGACGCCACUUUGAAGAGGGGAUCUCCAUUUUUAUUUUCCUUUUGCUCUUCACUUUCACACAGAGUAAAAUCCACCACUCCCUCACGGAAUGCACACACACACACACACCUCUCACUGAUCUGAGAAAACACACAUCUACAUACGAAUUAACACAUACAUACAGAAAAGGUAUAGAGAGAGAGAGCUGCGAGAUACGGUGAGAAGAGUCUAGAUCGGUAGAGAGCAACGAAGAGAGAAAAUAGGUGAGGUAACGAAAUGAAUGGUACAGCCGUUGGCGCUGGCGUCUCACAUGACACACAAUUUCUAUAUUCAGAACACUGUUCCGGCGACGUUCAGUUGGAACUGAGUUUUUUGGCUAGCUCUUCACCGGAAUCGAUUAGUUGUUAUCUGGGUUCAUUGAUUUUCAUACUGAUUUUUGGGAUUUAGCUUCUGUCCCAAUCGAAUCGUCCUUCUUUAUCUUUGGGUUUCAAAUUUCCCAAUACCGUGAUUGGUUCAUCGCUAUUGAGGUAUUCGUCUUGGGGUUUCAAGUCCGGGUGUUCUUAAACUUUAUUAUCAACGAAACUUUCUUCAAAGUACUACUCACCUCUCCAACUAUGCAAGUGAUGGCAUUGCGAAGCUUACCAGAAAAUGUGGAUGAUGUUGCAGUAAAUUUAUUGAUUCCAAACAUCCAAUUUACUUGUAAGAGUUCUUGCAGGAAUGAUGAUGAUUGUUCUGAAUGUUGGAUUUGUUGUAAAUGUGGAAGAGGCACUUGUAGAAUGGACACUAAAUUCAUAUGAUCUCUUAGCUAGAGAUCGAAUGUACGUAUGAACGUACGUAUUGUUGAAUAAAAAUGUACCACAUCAGUAAGGGAUGAAAUCUCUCUGGAGUAUUCGUUAUACGCGUUGGCGUUUUGUGAUCUAUCGUAUGUAUGUAUGUAUUUAUGUAUGUUCAGUAUUGUAUGAAUGUAUUUGUGUAUUAGUCCUCC